rnacentral:rRNA from 3 species
UUUGACCUCAAAUCAGGUAGGAGUACCCGCUGAACUUAAGCAUAUCAAUAAGCGGAGGA